GACGAACGCUGGCGGCGUGCCUAAUACAUGCAAGUCGAACGCAUUUUCUUUCACCGUAGCUUGCUACACCGAAAGAAAAUGAGUGGCGAACGGGUGAGUAACACGUGGGUAACCUGCCCAUCAGCGGGGGAUAACACUUGGAAACAGGUGCUAAUACCGCAUAAUUCCAUUUACCGCAUGGUAGAUGGAUGAAAGGCGCUUUUGCGUCACUGAUGGAUGGACCCGCGGUGCAUUAGCUAGUUGGUGGGGUAACGGCCUACCAAGGCUGCGAUGCAUAGCCGACCUGAGAGGGUGAUCGGCCACACUGGGACUGAGACACGGCCCAGACUCCUACGGGAGGCAGCAGUAGGGAAUCUUCGGCAAUGGACGCAAGUCUGACCGAGCAACGCCGCGGGAGUGAAGAAGGUUUUCGGAUCGUAAAACUCGGUUGUUAGAGAAGAACAAGGAUGAGAGUGGAAAGUUCAUCCCUUGACGGUAUCUAACCAGAAAGCCACGGCUAACUACGUG
rnacentral:rRNA from 1 species